rnacentral:rRNA from 1 species
CAUGCCGUAAACGAUGAUUGCUAGGUGUGGGGGGACUGACCCCUUCCGUGCCGGAGUAAACACAAUAAGCAAUCCACCUGGGGAGUACGGCCGCAAGGCUGAAACUCAAAGGAAUUGACG